GCGAUCUGGGCCCUGUUCUGCCAGGCACUGAAGAGACGGCAGGCUACAAAAUAACGUCCACGUUUGUCAGAUUAUCCCAUCCUCCCAGGGGGAAGGAAAUGGAUGCAAUGGAGCUGGCUCAGGAGGCACCACAAAAGCAUCUGGCCCCCCUGGG